AGAGAAAUCUACAAAUUGGUGAUGUAGUGAUGAUUGUAGACUCUCAGCUCCCUCGAGCUUUGUGGCCAGUGGGGAAAAUCUCAGAAGUGCACCCGGGAGCAGAUAACAGAGUCAGGUCAGCCACUGUGCAAGUUGAGAGAAGAACGUAUACUCGACCCGUAGCUCGCCUUGUCAAGCUACCAGUCGUAUCUGAUAAAGAGUAAUCCACUGACCAAUGAACAUUUGCAACGUCACCAUCAUGUGUAUCACGUGCCAUGAGGAAGUGGAGCAGGUGCGCUGAGCAGACAUGCAGAUCGCAAAC
ensembl:lncRNA